AAAGUUGGGUGGUGAAAUCCCAGAGCUUAACUCUGGAACUGCCAUCAAAACUUUUUAGCUAGAGUAUGAUAGAGGAAAGCAGAAUUUCUAGUGUAGAGGUGAAAUUCGUAGAUAUUAGAAAGAAUACCAAUUGCGAAGGCAGCUUUCUGGAUCAUUACUGACGCUGAGGAACGAAAGCAUGGGUAGCGAAGAGGAUUAGAUACCCUCGUAGUCCAUGCCGUAAACGAUGUGUGUUAGACGUUGGAAAUUUAUUUUCAGUGUCGCAGCGAAAGCGUUAAACACACCGCCUGGGGAGUACGACCGCAAGGUUAAAACUCAAAUGAAUUGACGGGGACCCGCACAAGUAGUGGAGCAUGUGGUUUAAUUCGAAGAUACGCGCAGAACCUUACCAACACUUGACAUGUUCGUCGCGACUCUAAGAGAUUAGAGUUUUCGGUUCGGCCGGACGAAACACAGGUGCUGCAUGGCUGUCGUCAGCUCGUGUCGUGAGAUGUUGGGUUAAGUCCCGCAACGAGCGCAACCCUCACUUUUAGUUGCCAUCAUUUAGUUGGGCACUCUGAAAGAACUGCCAGUGAUAAGCUGGAGGAAGGUGGGGAUGACGUCAAGUCCUCAUGGCCCUUACGUGUUGGGCUACACACGUGCUACAAUGGCAUUUACAAUAGGAAGCAAGAUGGCGACAUCAAGCAAAUCCUAAAAAGAUGCCUCAGUUCGGAUUGUACUCUGCAACUCGAGUACAUGAAGCUGGAAUUACUAGUAAUCGCGGAUCAGCGCGCCGCGGUGAAUACGUUCCCGGGUCUUGUACACACCGCCCGUCACACCAUGGGAGUUGGUUCUACCUUAAGGCAAGGUUUUAAACCCUUGACUACGGUAUAGUCAGCGACUGGGGUGAAGUCGUAACAAGGUAGCCGUAGGGGAACCUGCG
rnacentral:rRNA from 1 species